rnacentral:rRNA from 1 species
GCAUAUCAAUAAGCGGAAGGAAAAGAAAGCCAAAAGGGAUUGCCCUAGUAACGGCGAGUGAAGCGGCAACACGCUCAAAUUUGAAAUCUGGCGCAAGCCCGAGUUGUAAUUUGUAGAGGAUGCUUCUGGGUAGCGACCGAUCUAAGUUCCCUUGGAACAGGACGUCAUAGAGGGUGAGAAUCCCGUAUGUGACCGGCCCGCACCCUUUACGUAGCUCCUUCGACGAGUCGAGUUGUUUGGGAAUGCAGCUCUAAAUGGGAGGUAAAUUUCUUCUAAAGCUAAAUACCGGCCAGAGACCGAUAGCGCACAAGUAGAGUGAUCGAAAGAUGAAAAGUACUUUGGAAAGAGAGUUAAAAAGCACGUGAAAUUGUUGAAAGGGAAGCGCCUGCAACCAGACUUCGCGGCAGUGUUCCGCCGGUCUUCUGACCGGUUCAUUCUCUGUCGCGAGGCCAUCAUCGUCUGGGCCCGCCGGAUAAGACCUUAGGAAUGUAGCUCACCUUCGGGGGAGUGUUAUAGCCUAGGGUGAUGCGGCGAGGCUCGGGCGAGGUCCGCGCUUCGGCAAGGAUGAUGGCGUAAUGGUUGUCGGCGGCCCGUCUUGAAACACGGACCAAGGAGUCUAACAUCUAUGCGAGUGUUCGGGUGUCAAACCCCUACGCGUAAUGAAAGUGAACGGAGGUGGGAACCGCAAGGUGCACCAUCGACCGAUCCUGAUGUCCUCGGAUGGAUUUGAGUAAGAGCAUAGCUGUUGGGACCCGAAAGAUGGUGAACUAUGCCUGAAUAGGGUGAAGCCAGAGGAAACUCUGGUGGAGGCUCGCAGCGGUUCUGACGUGCAAAUCGAUCGUCAAAUUUGGGUAUAGGGGCGAAAGACUAAUCGAACCCUCUAGUAGCUGGUUCCUGCCGAAG